rfam:Pteropus alecto contig76433, whole genome shotgun sequence.
GUCUGCAGCCAUGCUACCGUGAACAAGCCCGAUCCCGUCUGAUCUCGGAAGCUAAGCAGGGUCGGGCCUGGUUAGUACUUGGAUAGGAGACCACCUGGGAAGACCAGGUGCUGUCGGCG